CAUCCAUAUCACAUGGAAGCACCGGUUCUCUUACGAUCACCGAGGUUAAGCAAUUUCGAGACUGGUCAUUACUUAGAUGGGUGAACGCUAUGGAAUACCAGCAGAUGU